GUCUGGUUGAACGAGACUUUAUUACACUCUGGCGUAGGAACACAUGAGAUUACAAAAAUACCCAAAUUGUUCGUAUUAUAUAAAAUCUGACUAUUUUCAAAGUGUUUAUAGAUAAGUUUCCUUGAAAAACAAUGCUUCAGCAUACGUUACAUCGAAUUUUUCUGUUAUUUUCAAGAACUAAGUCUUGUCAGCGGCGAUGAUUUGUGCUUAGGUCCAAACACUGUAUUGAAUAUAUAUGUCGUCAUUCAGUAAGGAAAUGUACAUCACACGAUAUCACAAAGACACAUAAUACAUGUAUAGAUAAAAUAAUUUGUUUUAUAAAAUCAAAACUUUCAAAUC
rnacentral:sRNA from 1 species